AGGAUCUAGGCUCUGGAAUUCCUCUCGUGUGAUCUAAGUAGCAUCAGAAUCAGGACGGUCUUGCCGCUUGGACAAGAAAUCUGUAAAAUCUAUGUUGUGAGGAAGUAACAAACUCAUCAUCAAGCACUGUGUCAAUGUUAUCUUUAGGCUGAGGAAGUGGUGUCGACUUUGGCACAAGCUGACCUGCAGAAACACUAGAAGGAAAAAUAGGAGGCUCAAAAGUGGAGCUAUAGGUGACAAGUCCUCCAUAUUGAAAAUAGGACUACUAUUUAUAUCUUUAGGUAACUCAAGUAAAUAUGCAUUAGAUGCAAGUUUUUGCACAAUGGAAAAAGGGCCAAUGGCUCAAGUAUGAAGUUUUUUUGGAGAAUUUUAAAGAAAAUUUUCAAGGCAAAUACGAACUAUGACAUAAUCACUAACAUCAAAUUCUUUAUUCCUACGAUGCACA
rnacentral:misc_RNA from 1 species